GACGAACGCUGGCGGCGUGCUUAACACAUGCAAGUCGAACGGAAAGGCCCUGCUUUUGUGGGGUGCUCGAGUGGCGAACGGGUGAGUAACACGUGAGUAACCUGCCCUUGACUUUGGGAUAACUUCAGGAAACUGGGGCUAAUACCGGAUAGGAGCUCCUGCUGCAUGGUGGGGGUUGGAAAGUUUCGGCGGUUGGGGAUGGACUCGCGGCUUAUCAGCUUGUUGGUGGGGUAGUGGCUUACCAAGGCUUUGACGGGUAGCCGGCCUGAGAGGGUGACCGGCCACAUUGGGACUGAGAUACGGCCCAGACUCCUACGGGACGCAGCAGUGGGGAAUAUUGCACAAUGGGCGGAAGCCUGAUGCAGCAACGCCGCGUGCGGGAUGACGGCCUUCGGGUUGUAAACCGAUUUCGCCUGUGACGAAGCGUGAGUGACGGUAAUUGGUAAAGAAGCACCGGCUAACUACGUG
rnacentral:rRNA from 1 species